rnacentral:rRNA from 1 species
GACGAACGCUGGCGGCGUGCUUAACACAUGCAAGUCGAACGGAAAGGCCCUGCUUUUGUGGGGUGCUCGAGUGGCGAACGGGUGAGUAACACGUGAGUAACCUGCCCUUGACUUUGGGAUAACUUCAGGAAACUGGGGCUAAUACCGGAUAGGAGCUCCUGCUGCAUGUUGGGGGUUGGAAAGAUUCGGCGGUUGGGGAUGGACUCGCGGCUUAUCAGCUUGUUGGUGGGGUAGUGGCUUACCAAGGCUUUGACGGGUAGCCGGCCUGAGAGGGUGACCGGCCACAUUGGGACUGAGAUACGGCCCAGACUCCUACGGGAGGCAGCAGUGGGGAAUAUUGCACAAUGGGCGGAAGCCUGAUGCAGCAACGCCGCGUGCGGGAUGACGGCCUUCGGGUUGUAAACCGCUUUCGCCUGUGACGAAGCGUGAGUGACGGUAAUGGGUAAAGAAGCACCGGCUAACUACGUG